rnacentral:rRNA from 1 species
UACCAGCACCCCGAGUGGUCGGGACGAUUAUUGGGCCUAAAGCAUCCGUAGCCGGCCUUACAAGUCCCCCGUUAAAUCCAACUGCUUAACAGAUGGGCUGCGGAGGAUACUAUAAGACUAGGAGGCAGGAGAGGCAAGCGGUACUCAGUGGGUAGGGGUAAAAUCCAUUGAUCCAUUGAAGACCACCAGUGGCGAAGGCGGCUUGCCAGAAUGCGCUCGACGGUGAGGGAUGAAAGCUGGGGGAGCAAACCGGG